rnacentral:rRNA from 1 species
GACGAACGCUGGCGGCGUGCUUAACACAUGCAAGUCGAACGCUGAAGCUCAGCUUUUGUUGGGUGGAUGAGUGGCGAACGGGUGAGUAACACGUGAGUAACCUGCCCCCUUCUUUGGGAUAACGCCCGGAAACGGGUGCUAAUACUGGAUAUUCACUGGUCUUCGCAUGGGGGUUGGUGGAAAGGGUUUUUCUGGUGGGGGAUGGGCUCGCGGCCUAUCAGCUUGUUGGUGGGGUGAUGGCCUACCAAGGCUUUGACGGGUAGCCGGCCUGAGAGGGUGACCGGUCACAUUGGGACUGAGAUACGGCCCAGACUCCUACGGGAGGCAGCAGUGGGGAAUAUUGCACAAUGGGCGCAAGCCUGAUGCAGCGACGCCGCGUGAGGGAUGGAGGCCUUCGGGUUGUGAACCUCUUUCGCUCAUGGUCAAGCCGCAACAAUGGUUAUGGUGAGGGUAGUGGGUAAAGAAGCGCCGGCUAACUACGUG